CAGGGGCAGCCGUGGGUGGGGAGGUGGCUGCGCCUGGGCCGUCCCGUCCCGUCCCGGAGCUGCCCCGUGGUGGCGGCCGGCCCUGAGGUGAAGUAGUCUCCGGCGUGUGGCGCAGUGCCCGGGCGCCCUGUGAGGGGGUCAGCGGGGUCCCCGGGCGCUGCCCGCCCUUCUCUCCGGCGGGACUUGGUGCCCGAACGGGCGGCCCGCGACUGGGCUGGGGCUGCGCCUCAGGCGGGUGAGGGAAGGCUGCCCCGGGCCGUGGCCCUUCAGCAGCGCCCGUGUCGACCUUUCACGUGGAGGGGAUCCGGGAGAGCCGCGCUGCCCGCAGCUCACUGCUCCACGGUGUGUCCAUUGCCCUCGUGCUGUGUAUGUCCAGCGCGGCACAUCACAGCAGAAAUUAAACACCCCAGAGAGAGAAUUGGACCCACAAGUGUGUGACCCGGCGGUGCGCGGGCCAUGAGGAUGAGAGUGGACUCCCGAAGCGCCUUCAGCCUAGUGCAGGUGCAGCCCCCGAGUCCUGCUUGGCCCUGGGCUGGAUGGGUGUACUCCGAGGGGCUUUGCCUCCUCCCAGCAGGGUUCAUGCUGGCUAUGAAAGGGAGGGAAAUGAAGGCUGCUCUUCUGAAAUCCACUGUGAUGCUGACAAUGAUAGAAGCUCUGCUGGUGCCCUGCCUCUUCUUGCCCACACUGCAGCAGGGACUGUGCUCAGGACUGACUGAGGAAACGGGGCUGAGCAAGUGGGGACAGACAGGUUAUGUGACAUGCUCAAGAUCACACGAGCAGUCUGUGUCAGAGUGGGAAACUGCACCUGGAUCUCUCACUUGUGAGGCUGUUGUUCUUAGGACUUUGUCCUUCUGACUUCAAGCAAAGAUUGACUUUGUCUGUGUCCUUUCUAUGCCUACAAAUGCCGCUGUGGGGCCAGGAGCUCAGGCCUCUUGCCUCCCGAGUUAUUGUCCUCAUGCACAGAACUCUCCAAGUCCGCAUGUCAGACUCUACAUGAGGCCUCAGAAUAGAAGCCACAGUGGCAAAGGGAGGAGCCACAGCAGCCUGAUGGGGAGAUGGGUGACAUCACACUGGAGUGGCCAACCUUGCUUCAGUAGCUGGAAGGGGGCAUGUCCAGGACUCAGAGGUUAUUCUACACUACCUCACAUCACUGCAAGGGGUGGAAGAGGGAGUCUCUUCCAGGAAGAAGGGAUUCCUUGCAGUCGAGCAAGCAAGUCAAGGCAGAUGGAGCAGGAGGGUAACACUCGUCGUGAGCCAGAGAGAGUGAGUUGGAUGAUGCUGGACCCAAGGGAGACGGAGCAGUUGGGGGGAGGUGGCUGUGUUCAGUUAUUGUGUGUUGUUGGGGCUUUCCGUAGUGAGCAAUAAUGUUUCUUUUCUUGUACCCUCUGUCAGCAAUGUUGUUUCUGUUACUGCUUGUUUUCUUAUCUCAUUGUUGUUUCCAGUAAAUUGUUCUUAUCUCAACCUGUGAUCUUUACUUUUUGUGCCUCCAAGUCUCUUCUCCAUCCCACCACAGGGGAGAGGGGGAAAGGGGAGGAGCAAGCAAGCAGCAGUGUGGUUUGGAGUCUCAGUGUGAGCACUAAACUGGGGAGUGCCAUUCCUGAACAACAACAUCUGGUAAAGAAAAUUUGACUGAUGCCGUUUUUGAAACAAGACCGUUCUGUUUAGGCAGAAAUGGCAUUUAUAAUAAAUACAGUACUGGUGGAAGAAAGACAAAUCUAUUGUCUGAGAAGAACAAGCUAUUUAAAUUCCACAGUGAUGGAAAAAUUGAAGGGAAAGAGAUGGCUGAGCGGCUUUGUGAGUCGCACAAUGCCUCGAGUGCUGCAAUGAGAGCAGAAAAUAAUAGUGAUCUGCUUUAGAGAUUGUGUCUGUUUCAAACACUCAUCAUUUCAAACAAUGAUGACAACUCUUCCAGUCUCAUUUUAGUACUGUUGCUGUUAUGGAAACUUUCUCUGUCCUCAUCAGCUCGAUUAUGUGUCUUUACAACACUAAUGAAUCACAGCUGACACUUCAGGGACUCAGCCUCUUUUGAAGGUAUUUGCUUCCUUCGUAAGCUCUUUGGUCAAGUUUAAAAACUUAUUUUCAGAGGCUGGGUGAACUGUAUGAAGAGAUUUUGAGGAUUCAUUGAGAAACAAGUGAAAACAGCAAUGACUGUUUAUGUAUUGGUACUUCUACCACUGAUACCUUUUUAAACUAUGCCUUUAAAUUUUUGAGAGGCAGUCAGAUGUAGACA
rnacentral:lncRNA from 13 species